GUAUAAUUCAAAAAUUAAAUAUAAUUUUUCUUUAAAAACUUACCCCAUUCAAGUGCUGACAGCCAGGUCUAUAGUGAGGUGGAUCUGAGGAGACUGCAGUCUGCAGACACUCGAACACUAUGGGGAGCAGUCUAGCACGCAGAAGAGGUCACUGUUCUCCUUCCAGCCAGGUAAGUCUGCUGUCUUCUUCUGCAGGACUUGGACAAGAUGGAGGCAGAGGGAGAGGACGGGCAGCGGAAGUCUGGCCCCCUACUCACUGUAUGAUAUUGCACUCCGCCAUACUGGAGCCUGCCUGGGCCUGUCUGCUUCCCUUUCCUCCCUGUCUCACUCCCUCUCUCUGCACUUCACAUCUGUGCCAGGCGGGCUCCAGUGUAUGGGCGCCGCUAUAUUGGAGUCAGCCAGCAGGGGGACCCCGUCCCUGCCAGCAUCGGACCGCAGGGGACUCUGGGGGAGGUGAAAGUCGCGCCCCUCCUGACAUCAUCAGGAGGGUGCGGGCCCGGGCGGCACUGUACAGACUUCACCUCCUCCGGGAUCGGACCGUCUGUGGAGGGAACCAGCCUGGAGAGGUAGGCUGCGGGUGGCUGUAUAAAAAUUUUUGCGCCCCCUCUGCUUGGGCGCCCUAAGGCAGCCGCCUGGGCUGCCUUAUGGAUGCGCCGGCCCUGUUUCUAUGUAACAUAGACCAGCUGACGGGCCCAAGGAGUCCCUUGAAUCUUUGUUCUGGGAAAAUAAAGAAUAGAAAUAGAAAUGUUUCUUUAUUUCUCCUCUACUCUGCAUGCUCUCUAAGCUGACUGCCAGGUGCAAAGGACAGCACCUAUAACAAUGAUUAACAGGGAGCUAUGAUGUAAGCGCCCAAUUGCAGGAUAAAGCAGUAGUGUACAUUUUUCAACAUCAAAUUUUAUUUUAUUUUUCUCCUGUCACAAACACAUAUUUGAUAAAUAUAGGGAUAAGUAAACAUAAACAUCCAG